GGCAAGGCGGGCGUGUUCAAUGGAAGUAUGCUACCAGCUGCCGGUGCUGCCCCUGGACAGGCCGGUCCCCCAGCACGUCCUCAGCCGCCGAGGAGCCAUCAGCUUCAGCUCCAGCUCCGCGCUCUUCGGCUGCCCGCAUCCCCGGCAGCUCUCGCAGAGACGUGGAGCUAUUUCCUAUGACAGUUCUGACCAGACUGCGUUAUAUAUUCGUAUGCUCGGCGAUGUCCGCGUAAGGAGCCGAGCAGGAUUUGAAGCAGAAAGAAGAGGCUCACACCCGUAUAUUGACUUCCGUGUUUUCCACUCUCAAUCUGAAAUUGAAGCAUCAGUCUCUGCCAGGAACAUCAGAAGACUACUAAGUUUCCAGCGCUAUCUCAGAUCCUCGCGCUUUUUUCGGGGCGCCACAGUUUCUAGUUCUCUAAACAUUCUAGAUGACGAUUAUAAUGGACAAGCCAAGUGUAUGCUGGACAAAGUUGGAAACUGGAAUUUUGAUAUCUUUCUCUUUGAUAGAUUAACAAAUGGAAACAGUCUAGUAAGUUUAACCUUUCAUUUAUUUAGUCUUCAUGGAUUGAUUGAGUACUUCCAUUUAGAUAUGGUGAAACUGCGUCGAUUUUUAGUUAUGAUUCAAGAAGAUUACCACAGUCAAAAUCCUUACCACAAUGCAGUCCAUGCUGCGGAUGUUACUCAGGCCAUGCACUGUUACCUAAAGGAGCCUAAGCUUGCCAGUUCUGUAACUCCUUGGGAUAUCUUGCUGAGCUUAAUUGCAGCUGCCACUCAUGAUCUGGAUCACCCGGGUGUUAAUCAGCCUUUCCUUAUUAAAACCAACCAUUAUCUGGCAACUUUAUACAAGAAUACCUCAGUCCUGGAAAACCACCACUGGAGAUCGGCAGUGGGCUUGUUGAGAGAAUCUGGUUUGUUCUCGCAUUUGCCACUGGAAAGCAGGCAACAGAUGGAGACCCAGAUAGGUGCUCUGAUACUAGCCACAGACAUUAGCCGCCAGAACGAGUACCUGUCAUUGUUUAGAUCUCACUUGGACAGAGGUGACUUACACCUUGACGAUGGCAGACAUAGGCAUUUGGUUCUACAGAUGGCCUUGAAAUGUGCUGACAUCUGUAACCCCUGUCGGAGCUGGGAGCUAAGCAAGCAGUGGAGUGAAAAAGUAACGGAGGAAUUCUUCCACCAAGGAGAUAUAGAGAAAAAGUACCAUUUGGGUGUGAGUCCACUUUGUGAUCGUCAGACUGAGUCUAUUGCCAACAUCCAGAUUGGGUUUAUGACCUACCUGGUGGAGCCGUUAUUUACGGAGUGGGCCAGGUUUUCGGAUACAAGGCUGUCACAGACAAUGCUCGGCCAUGUGGGGCUGAAUAAAGCCAGCUGGAAGGGACUGCAGAGACAACCACCCGGCAGCGAGGAUGCAAACGCUGCCUUUCAGCUCAACUCACAGUUACUAACUCAGGAAAAUCGGUUAUCCUAACCUGAACCAGUGGGACCAGCUCCCUCCUGCAAGAUUGUGGAAAUGUGAACGGGGUCUCGAGGUGAAGAACUGGUUUCCAAGGAAAUGAUGCCAGCAUUAUUUAUUAUUGAGGUUUCUUCUGUUGGAUCAUUGGAGCCCACUUUUUAAUGAUAAGACUGAUUACGCAGCAAUAUGCAUCUGGCUUUCGUGUGAAACCUUGAAAUAUGCAAAGCUCAGCAGGUGAACCAGAAAGGAUCAUCAAAGGAAGAUUUGCUACGCGUUUCUUUCGAGCCCUGAAACUUGAACUGAAUCUCAGCAGAAUCUCGAUCUGACCUGCCCUAUUCCACAAACCAUCUGCCCCUUCCACUAUGUUCUCUCUGAGAAAACAGAAAUGUGAAGCGCCCAGCCUCUGCUGCCUCUGGCAAGACUCAAUGUUUACAAUCAACUCUGAAAUACUGGUUCUAAAUUGCCUUGGAGCGCGAUUGUGAAGGAGCCACUGAGACAGUCCCAGCUCCAGCUGGAGACUGUAGCUCUCUGGUGGUUUGCCUUUUUCUUCUUUGGAUGCCCUCAGAGCCUCCCUUUCCUUCGCUGUUUUGUCUUUGCGCUGGAGAGGGAGCGGCUGUCACACAGCACCAAGCACUUCACUCCCGUGCUGUUUGGCACUGCAGAUUUUUAACUCUUGGUUUUUCCUCUGGGGCGGGAGGGCCGGAACACCAGUGUCCCAGCUGUGUCCUGACUCUGAAGACACUGCAUGUUGUUUUCACUACUGUACACGUGACCUGCACAUGCAAGAAAAAGGUGGAAUGUUUAACACACCAUAAUCAGCUCAGGGUAUUUGCCGAUAUGAAAUAAAGUGGGAUGGGGAAGUGUGUCCUUCAGACCAAGGGAACUAAGUCCCUUUCGCUGCAGUGCGUGAGAGGCAAAUCUCCUUGGGAAGCCAAAUUAGGAGCAGCUGGUUUACUCAGUGAGCAAGGACUCUGAGCAAGGGACGCGUUUCCUCAUGCACCCAUCUCCCUGUGGGGAUACCUGCUGAUACCCAUAGCUGUGGACUGGGGUACCCUGUUCCUUUGGAUGCUCUAGGGGCUAUCUGCCACAGUUGUUUCUACACGGUAGCUUGACUGGUAACUCUGUUGGACCUGCCUGUUACUUCCUUCAGCCUUUUCUCUGCCUGGGGUGGCUGUUGACUUCCGCCCUGACUAUGCUGGUCUUGGACAAGGUGUAGCUCUCCUCUCUCCAGCUUCUCAAAAGGGAAACCAGGUGAUGCUCCCAGAUCUUUAGAGCUGUGUGGGAAUUACCUGCCACCCUCCUGCUUCUUCGACAUUCAAAUCACAUUUAAAAAAUAAAUAAAUAAAAAAGUAAGCAAAUACAUAGUGCAAAAUUCAUGACAUUUCAAGAGAAAUUUGAUACUUCAAAGAACUUUUGAGGAUGUAGCACCCAUUUGGGAGUCUGGGCCCAGUGCUGAAGAGGGGGUAGCUGAGAAAAUUUUAACAAGUCCUACCUAAACCACAAAUCUGGUUCCUCAUUAGUAUUUGUACUUUAAACAUAAUGGUUUGUAACAAGGCUCUUUGUAUUUUUUUUUAAAAAAAAAACAAAAUUCUCUAUUUUUGUCCUUUGUGAACCUGGAAAAAAAUCCCCUAUACCUGAGGUAUAGGUUAGAGGUGCUAGUGAUUCUUUUAUGGUUCAGAAUGGUCUUUUUCCGCAAUGCUUUUUGAUGUUUGUUUCCUAUUUAAGACCUAAAAAUCAUACUGCUUUAAAAGGAACAUGCAAAAACUAGUUAGCCCGUCUCCAGUGUGUAUUUGCAACCUAAGCUGCACUGGAGAUUUGGUAUUUGGUCUGCAGCCAUUCCCUAAGUACCUGCAGGCAUUGGGAGGACCCCCAACAUGGGCUUCAGGAGGAUAACCACCACCGCAGGCCAACACGGGCAUGAGCUGACAGGAACAUACAUGGUCUCUUCUGUUCUUCAGUGAGAACGGUAUAGGGUGGAUGUGAACUGGGCCAUCGGUAAACAGGUUACUGUGUAAUGUACCCUUUAGCUAGGAGUGGUUUGGUAGAACUGAAGUUGUAUAGUAAACGAUGUCUGGAUCCUGUUGUGUCGAACAUGGCGCUGGGAGUUAACAAUUUGAAAGAGCAUUAAAAGUUACAAGCCAGGGUCUCAAUGCGAUUGGUUUUCAGGGUUGUGUAUGAAGGGUGGCACUGGAGUACUGCCUGAGAGACAGGCUUAAGGACGAAACUAGCACCGUUCAUAUCUCUAAAUACCGAAAUCACUCGGCAUUCAAAUUUGAUUAAAGAAUACAGUUUUAAGUAUUCAAAAUGAGUGAAAUACUGACUUUAAACUUUCAUGCCUAAGCUUUGUAAGUUACCCUGGACUCCAUUUUUAGAAUCUGGUAGGAUGAAAGAGGAAAGAGAAAUGCCAUUAUUUUCAGUAUUCAGCUUCUUGUUGGCUCUGAACUUACAACUGAAACCUGCUGACUCAGUCAUUUACGGUUUUUAGUUGAUUCAGCAGUCUCUGUUAAAAAAAAUCCGUUUGUCUUUAAGCCCUCUCCUUCCACCUGUGUCUGUGUGUAUGUGUCUGUGUGUGUGUAAUAAAUUUGAAAUAUUUUUUCACUGUUUGAACAUGUCAUAAAAAUUUCAGAAAACUGUAAUUAAUGUAUCACAGUUUCUUAUCUUAAAUUUAUAAAAAUUAUAAAGUUUUGAAGGAAACA